AGCGAGAGCUGAGACUCCUGCAAGGGAGACCCCAGAGCCACAUUUGAUGAGCCAGAGGGAAGAUCCCAGAGCCAGACUUGCCUGCAAAGGGGGAUCCAGCAAAGAAGGGAGGUGGGAGGUGUGAAGGAAUAGGAUCAGGAUAUAUGGUGCCUCACCAGGAGGCAGGAAGGACAGUGAGUAGGGUUCCCAGGGUGGCUCCAAAGUGCUUCAGACCUGGGCCAGGAAUGAGCAGCCUCUGGCAAGACCCUGACCUUUCAGAAGUCCAGCUUCACCUCAGUCCUGGCAAGGGUUGGAGAGCGAGUGCCUGAGCUUCUUCCAGGAAACCUUACCUGCUUGGGGCCUUGAGGCAUCUUCUUGGGAACAUCCUGAACGGGAGAACUGUAAGAUCAAGACAUGAAGGCAAGAGGCAGUCUUUGACUAAGAAGAGACUUCUCAGCCUGACUCGCUUACCUGAGCAGUGUAUACCCACCCAUGGAUGUUUGGGAAUAGUUCCUGCCUCCAUGAUGAACUACACUUGGCCUGUCUGACCAAGGAGAGAGCCUCCUAUUCCCAGUCCCACUGCACCCCUAGUGCAGGUCCCCCCAUCCCACUGCAGCUCCUCACUGCUUCUCAUGCCUACCCCUGUGGACUACUCAUUAAUAGUAUGGCCCUGGGCUCCUUGGUCUGAGAUGGUCCUGCCUCAAGUAUAGCCUGAAGGGCACAAAAUGAAAGAGGAAGUUCAGAGGCCCUAGCUUGGGACUCCAGUGUCAGCCAUACAAUGUACUGGGAGCAUCUCCUCCCCAACAACAUCAGCCCUACUGGGACCCCUGUGUUCUCGCCAAUUGACAUCCCAACAUUUGCCUAAAGGGUAAUCAUGAAGACUAAUGAGAUAAGCAAGAGAAGGGCUUUGUACAGAGUGAGUACUCAGGAAAGCGAAGAAGAGGUGGUUGGAAGCAAAGCCAUGGCCAAGCCCAAGGGACCCCUGCUGUCCUCUCAAUCACACAGAACUAUUAGGGCAGGACCUGCAGAGAUCUCUUAUCCAUCUUCCUUCUGGGCUAUGGAAGAGCAAGGUACUACCACUUACUGUGCUUUCUCUGGGAAGAGCCUUUUGGCACGGCCAUGCUGGAUGCUGGAGGGCUGGGAAGGAGGGGUGUCCACAUUAAAGGUGGCAUUGAGGUCAAUGUCAUCACCGAAGGCUGGCCGUUGAAGCUUUAGGUUGAGCAUCUCCACAGGAGCUGGGCUUUAGGCAGAGACAUCCUGGUUACUCAGGACCACAGUGGCAGCCCAGAAGGACAGCAGCUUCUCAAGCAUCAGAAAUGGCUCAGCUCCAGAAGUCUGGAGCCCACACCUAGUUUAAAACCAUCCUGCAAGGAAGCCCUAAUCUCUACAGAAAAAACUACUUAGCUUAGUCCUUCACACAGUGAAAAUUUGGAAAACACGGAAGUAAACAGAAAUGCACACAAAACCCAAAUGUACAAAUAAAAGACCUUUUGUUUA